UACGUAGGUGGCAAGCGUUUGUCCGGAUUUAUUGGGUUUAAAGGGUGCGUAGGCGGCCCUGUAAGUCAGUGGUGAAAUACGGCAGCUCAACUGUCGAGGUGCCAUUGAUACUGCGGGGCUUGAGUGUUGAUGAGGCAGGCGGAAUUGACGGUGUAGCGGUGAAAUGCUUAGAUAUCGUCAAGAACACCGAUAGCGAAGGCAGCUUGCCAAGCAAUAACUGACGCUGAGGCACGAAAGUGCGGGGAUCAAACAGG
rnacentral:rRNA from 1 species